rnacentral:rRNA from 1 species
AUUGAACGCUGGCGGCAUGCCUUACACAUGCAAGUCGAACGGCAGCACGGGUGCUUGCACCUGGUGGCGAGUGGCGAACGGGUGAGUAAUACAUCGGAACGUACCUUAUCGUGGGGGAUAACGCAGCGAAAGCUGUGCUAAUACCGCAUACGCCCUGAGGGGGAAAGCGGGGGAUCGCAAGACCUCGCGCGAUUAGAGCGGCCGAUGCCUGAUUAGCUUGUUGGUGGGUAAAAGCCCACCAAGGCGACGAUCAGUAGCUGGUCUGAGAGGACGAUCAGCAACACUGGGACUGAGACACGGCCCAGACUGCUACGGGAGGCAGCAGUGGGGAAUUUUGGACAAUGGGGGCAACCCUGAUCCAGCAACGCCGCGUGAGUGAAGAAGGCCUUCGGGUUGUAAAGCUCUUUUGUCAGGGAAGAAACACCGGCUCUAACACAGUCCGGGAAUGACGGUACCUGAAGAAUAAGCACCGGCUAACUACGUGCCAGCAGCCGCGGUAA